GACGUAGGGGGCGAGCGUUGUCCGGAUUUAUUGGGCGUAAAGAGCGCGUAGGCGGCCCGGAAAGUCGGAUGUGAAAACCCGGGGCUCAACCCCGGGCCUGCAUCCGAUACUCCCGGGCUGGAGGCAGGUAGGGGAGAUCGGAAUUCCUGGUGUAGCGGUGAAAUGCGCAGAUAUCAGGAGGAACACCGGUGGCGAAGGCGGAUCUCUGGGCCUGUCCUGACGCUGAAGCGCGAAAGCUAGGGGAGCGAACAGG
rnacentral:rRNA from 1 species